rnacentral:tRNA from 2 species
UGCCCGCGUAGCUUAAUGGUAAAGCCCCGGCUUGUGGUGCCGGUGAUUACGGUUCGACUCCGUGCGCGUGGAACCA